rnacentral:tRNA from 1 species
UCCCUGGUGGCUCAGAUGGUAAAGCGUCUGCCUACAAUGCAGGAGACCCUGGUUUGAUCCCUGGGUUGGGAA